UGCGCUGGCGGCCUUGCAGCUUCGGAGG
rnacentral:piRNA from 1 species